rnacentral:rRNA from 1 species
AUUGAACGCUGGCGGCAUGCUUUACACACGCAAGUCGAACGGUAACAGGGAGCUUGCUCCGCUGACGAGUGGCGAACGGGUGAGUAAUGCGUCGGAACGUGCCGAGUAGUGGGGGAUAACGCAGCGAAAGUUGUGCUAAUACCGCAUACGUACUGAGGUAGAAAGUGGGGGACCUUCGGGCCUCACGCUAUUCGAGCGGCCGACGUCUGAUUAGCUAGUAGGUGAGGUAAAGGCUCACCUAGGCGACGAUCAGUAGCGGGUCUGAGAGGAUGAUCCGCCACACUGGGACUGAGACACGGCCCAGACUCCUACGGGAGGCAGCAGUGGGGAAUUUUGGACAAUGGGCGAAAGCCUGAUCCAGCCAUGCCGCGUGUCUGAAGAAGGCCUUCGGGUUGUAAAGGACUUUUGUCGGGGAGGAAAUCCCCAGCGCUAAUACCGCUGGGGGAUGACAGUACCUGAAGAAUAAGCACCGGCUAACUACGUGCCAGCAGCCGCGGUAAAAC